rnacentral:rRNA from 1 species
AGAACGAACGCUGGCGGCGUGGAUAAGACAUGCAAGUCGAGCGAGAUUUUUUCUUGUAGCAAUACAGGGAAAAGUCUAGCGGCGAACGGGUGCUUAACACGUGGGCAAUCUGUCUUAAAGUGGGGGAUAGCUCGGCGAAAGCCGAAUUAAUACCGCAUGUGAUUAGAGUGGACAUCCAUUCAAAAUCAAAGUCGGGGCAACCUGACGCUUUUUGAGGAGCCCGCGGCCUAUCAGCUUGUUGGUGAGGUAACGGCUCACCAAGGCUAAGACGGGUAGCUGGUCUGAGAGGACGACCAGCCUCACUGGAACUGAGACACGGUCCAGACACCUACGGGUGGCAGCAGUCGAGAAUUUUUCACAAUGGGGGAAACCCUGAUGGAGCGACGCCGCGUGGGGGAUGAAUGGCUUCGGCCCGUAAACCCCUGUCAUUUGUGACCAAACCUUCCGACCCAACACGUCGGAAGCUGAUGGUAGCGGAAGAGGAAGGGACGGCUAACUCUGUGCCAGCA